rnacentral:tRNA from 2 species
GACCUUGUGGCGCAACGGUAGCGCGUCUGACUCCAGAUCAGAAGGUUGCGUGUUCAAAUCAUGUCUGGGUCA